GUACACGGUGGAUGCCCUGGCAGUCAGAGGCGAUGAAGGACGUGCUAAUCUGCGAAAAGCGCCGGUAAGGUGAUAUGAACCGUUAUAACCGGCGAUGUCCGAAUGGGGAAACCCAGUGUGACUCGUCACACUAUCAUUAACUGAAUCCAUAGGUUAAUGAGGCGAACCGGGGGAACUGAAACAUCUAAGUACCCCGAGGAAAAGAAAUCAACCGAGAUUCCCCCAGUAGCGGCGAGCGAACGGGGAGGAGCCCAGAGCCUGAAUCAGCAUGUGUGUUAGUGGAAGCGUCUGGAAAGGCGCGCGAUACAGGGUGAG
rnacentral:rRNA from 1 species